UUUUGCUGUGCAGGGGCUGGCUGUGGUCAGGACUCAGCAGGUGAAGGUGCCUGCUGCCCAGCCUGAUGAUCCGAGUCCACUUUCUGGAAUCUCCAUGGUUGACUGCCUCCAAGAGGUACAGUAUACACUUAUCAAGUAAUGGUACGGUUUACUGCUUAGCUAGCCAAUCCUGGAGCCCUGGAUAAUGUGUGCACUGGGAGGAGUCCUGACAGGUGACUUGCCCAAAGUCACAUGGCACAUGUUUUAGAUCUGUCCUUUGUUGAGGGCUAUGGUGCUCUGGCCACCCUGUAAUGUAAUGGCCACUCUGUUGCAUCACGGAGUAGGUUCUGUGGUUCCUGUGAUUCACAGAGCCCAAGGACUUGUCAGUCUAGAGCUAAUCUGUGUUGGAAUCUUAGGUGGUUUUACUGGGAGGUCUGUGCUUUGUUGACCAGGAUCCUGGCUCUGGCUGAGCCCCACAUCCUGGCUAAGCCGCCACCAUUGACUGGCUGGCAGACUGCUGCAUGGAGAGCUUCUGUGAACUUACAACGUCAGUAGGCUGGCUCCUUGAAGCAGCCAGUGUCUUCUAGCCCCUGAAAUGAUCACAGUCUACUUCCGGUUGUUUGUACCUGCUCUCCAUCUGGCCCCUUCUCAGGGACAACUACGGGGAUGGUUCAUUUGAACUUGGGUGGUGUCAGAGCCAUCAUUCAUCAGUGCUUUGGAAUCCAAAUGGAAGCCUGAAUAGUAGCUGCCUUGACAGCAAGCUCUGGUUGCUAUGGCAAUAGGGCAAUCGGGUCUCUCCCAGACCCUGAAGUCAAAAGUAACACCACUGAGCUUGAGCUACAAAGUGGGGAUGCAGCGGUUGACAGGGGUCUUGCUCUUGUUGCUGCGUGUCUCAGGAUGCUGGGUGAAGCAGGGGGCAGUUGGGAGUGAGCUCUGCCUUCCAUCUGAUUUGCCUGCCUGGCCUCUAGUUCACAUAUGGAGACUGAGUACCUAGUGGCAUGGGUGG
rnacentral:lncRNA from 1 species